CCUACGGGAGGCAGCAGUGGAGAAUUUUGGACAAUGGACGCAAGUCUGAUCCAGCCAUGCCGCGUGCGGGAAGAAGGCCUUCGGGUUGUAAACCGCUUUUGUCAGGGAAGAAACGGGUUUCUCUAAUACAGAGACCUAAUGACGGUACCUGAAGAAUAAGCACCGGCUAACUACGUGCCAGCAGCCGCGGUAAUACGUAGGGUGCAAGCGUUAAUCGGAAUUACUGGGCGUAAAGCGUGCGCAGGCGGUUAUGCAAGACAGAGGUGAAAUCCCCGGGCUCAACCUGGGAACUGCCUUUGUGACUGCAUAGCUAGAGUACGGUAGAGGGGGAUGGAAUUCCGCGUGUAGCAGUGAAAUGCGUAGAUAUGCGGAGGAACACCGAUGGCGAAGGCAGUCCCCUGGACCUGUACUGACGCUCAUGCACGAAAGCGUGGGGAGCAAACAGGAUUAGAUACCCUGGUAGUCCACGCCCUAAACGAUGUCAACUGGUUGUUGGGAGGGUUUCUUCUCAGUAACGAAGCUAACGCGUGNGUGCGCGNGGNGCGCGCGAGUGAAGANAANAGAGUGAGNGNGAGAGNGCGAGACGACGACGAGGGAGGAGG
rnacentral:rRNA from 1 species